rnacentral:rRNA from 1 species
GUGAGUAGUUCAGAGUUUGAUCCUGGCUCAGGAUGAACGCUGGCGGCGUGCUUAACACAUGCAAGUCGAACGAAGCACUCUGGAAUGCGCCUUCGGGCAAGUGAAGGAGUGACUUAGUGGCGGACGGGUGAGUAACGCGUGGGUAACCUGCCUCGUACAGGGGGAUAACAGCUGGAAACAGCUGCUAAUACCGCAUAAGACCACAGUACCGCAUGGCACAAGGGUCAAAGAUUUAUCGGUGUAGGGUGAGCUCGCGUCCCAUUAGAUAGUUGGCGGGGUAACGGCCCACCAAGUCGACGAUGGGUAGCCGACCUGAGAGGGUGAUCGGCCACACUGGGACUGAGACACGGCCCAG